rnacentral:rRNA from 1 species
GACGAACGCUGGCGGCGUGCUUAACACAUGCAAGUCGAACGAUGAACUUGGAGCUUGCUCUGGGGGAUUAGUGGCGAACGGGUGAGUAACACGUGAGUAACCUGCCCUGGACUCUGGGAUAACUCGAGAAAUCGGAGCUAAUACCGGAUAGGACCUUGCACCGCAUGGUGUGGGGUGGAAAGUUUUUCGGUUUGGGAUGGACUCGCGGCCUAUCAGCUUGUUGGUGAGGUAACGGCUCACCAAGGCGACGACGGGUAGCCGGCCUGAGAGGGCGACCGGCCACACUGGGACUGAGACACGGCCCAGACUCCUACGGGAGGCAGCAGUGGGGAAUAUUGCACAAUGGGCGAAAGCCUGAUGCAGCGACGCCGCGUGAGGGAUGACGGCCUUCGGGUUGUAAACCUCUUUCAGCAGGGAAGAAGCGAAAGUGACGGUACCUGCAGAAGAAGCACCGGCUAACUACGUGCCAGCCGCCGCAGUAAGAC